rnacentral:lncRNA from 1 species
GAAAUUCUAAAACAGUGUCAGACAUGGAAGACUGCAGGCAGACUUGGGCUGUGUAAGAAACAGGCUGAGCCGGGCAUGGAAAAUGAGCCAGUGGCAGCGUUCCUCCAUGGCCUCUGCUUCCGUUUCCCCCUCUCCCCACCGCCAUGUUCCUGCUUUGAUUUCCUGUCUUAGCUUCUCUCCAUGGUGGACAUGGCCCGGAAGCAAAUAAACCCUUUCCUCCCACGGUGGUUCUGGCCUUUGUGUUAAUCGCACUAGCAGAAAUGAAGUCAAACAGGAGCCUUACUCUAAGGAGUACAUGAUCUCCGCCUCCACGCAUGAAGACACGGAAGGGCAAGUGGAAUCUAUGCGGCACAGAGAGGAGGUGAGCGGUUAUCCGAGGAUGAGAUGUCUCCAGGUCUUGGCAUAAAUGAAGACUCUUCCCAUGGCCUGAACAUCUUUCUUCCAUCCUUCAAAGCCAUUGCUACACGGCAGCUCCCGGAUCAACGUGUUCCUCAUGGGAGUGAAUAAACAUCUCUGAGUCAGGAGGAGUGGAAAAAAUUCGCCCAAGAUUUACCCACAAAUUGGCUCUGAGAAAGCACCCCAGAACACUCCCAAAGCAUUUGUGCCAGGUUCCCUGGGCUGCUGGGUUUACUUGAGAAAUCAUAAAAUGACUUUUGUGUGUUUAUUCUUUGACAAUUUUAUACACAAAUGCAAU